CUUGUGGUCUACUGAUAUGCAAAUGUUGACGUCAACCAUUUUGAAAUGUAUAACCUGAAAGUGCUGUACAAUUAAAGUUAUUAUUCCUAGGGUUAGAAAAAGCCUAGGCAUGUACCGUAUAAAAUCCAGUGAGUGAAUAGAUAAAUUAAUAAUAGUCCAUGCACCAAGCAGGUUUUCGAUAUCGCUUAAGAGGACUAAACAACAAUUACAAUCCAGCCUCAGUGUGCCAUCCCAGGGGAGUAGCUAUAGCCAGGUAGGGGUCAAUAAAGAAUUCCACAGGGGUCAAAAUGUAAAAUUCUCCAAUCAUUUUGAAAACUAUACUACAUUAUUUUUCUGGUCACAAAGAUUCCAAAAAGGUAUAGUUUGGACUAUUUGUGGCUGAAUGUUCUGGAGUUAUGGAGCAAAAACAGCAAGAAUAGUGACAAAGAUCAAUUUCAUUUUGUACAGGCAUCAAAAGUUAAGGUUGCUAUAAUUUUGGUUAAAAGGUGAUGCAAAUUAUUUCUUCAUGGGAAUACUUUGCACUAUCUGUUAGCUAUGGCAGGGGGUGGUGGACAAGCAGUUAAGUGCACUUAUUUUCAGUGCAGAAGGUUCCAAGUUCAAACAAAACACCUCUGCCUAUUCUCUGCCUAUUUCGUAAUGAAGGGCAUCAGGUGUAAAACCUGUGCCAAAUCAACAUGCAGAUCCACCUUGGAUUUGCUGUGGUGACAAGGGAGCAGCCAAAGGGACUUACUAGUUUGCACCAUGUUUCAUGCUUAGUUAUCAAGUUACAGGUAACAUAUGUCACAUGUCAUAGAAGCCAAUGGACACUGACUUUGUUUGACCUUUACUUUGGAGACCAAGCAUUCAACAAGGUCAAAACUAUUCUGUUUAUUAUUAGCUCAGUCAAUAUUCAUAACUUUUUAUCAGAAUUGGAGCACCUUUAACUUUUGACCCCUGUACAAACUGAAAUUGACCUUUAUCACUAUUUUUUGUUGUUUUUACCCCAUAACUCCAGAACGUUCAGUCAUAGAUAGUCCAAACUAUACCUUUUUGGAGUCAUUAGAAUUUGCAUGUACCUUCGCGGAUACCUGGACCUUUGGACAGCUUUCCUGUGUGUGUGAGACCCUGGACCAUCCCUGUGUUGUUGAAUAAAGAUCUUUAGACUUACUCAUAUUUUCCGGAGUAUAAGUUGCAUUUUUGUUUGUUGUUUUAGUAGUUUGGGAGGUCCUGCAACUUAUACUCAGGUGCAACUUAUAUACUGAAAACUCACAACUUCAUUAUUAAUAAGGAUAACUAUUUCUCUCUCUCCCUCAUUCACACACCCUGCGUGAAUAACGCUCUGCAAAACGCUCUGUCUCUCAAUGGAAAAUUGCCACACCUCACACAGCAGAACUCCUCACGUCUCCACAGCAGACUGUAGAUGACAAAUGAAUGCACCGUAAAUGCAGAGCGCUCCCUUUGGUGCACGUGUGGAGAAAAAAGGGAGAAAAUGAAAAUCACACAUCUAAGCCUGUCAGAUAUCUGGACAUUCUUAAUUAGUUAGUGGGCAUUCUGUCACGUUUUCAUACACCUGAAUACUUUGUCACCAAGCGUACCCGCCGACCCGAGUUUGAACCCUUGUGUGUCCUCAGGCUGCACGUUCACCCACAUCACUGUUCACAUCAUUUGGGAGCAUAAUAGUUAUUAUUCUGUUUGGACUAAAAGUCCGGACCAAAGACACGAGUCCACAGUUGCUUCAUGUCACUUGCAUCCAUUUGUGACCGUGUGCACUUUGCUGUCUGUGGCACUGCACGGUGUUACGUUGUCUGAUGAAAGCUGUUGAUAGGCUGUUUGAAUAAAGUGCUACUUCAGUAUCAACUAAAGGUUUUGUGCACUUCUCUUUUUUU